UUAGUUUUCAAAACAUUUUCCUUGUCAUCCUGCCUCAACUGAAAUUAUUGUUCUUAUGAAAAUCUUCCCAUUAGCAUCACUGAGGGGACGUCAGGAAGGUGUCUAAUGAGUUUCUACAUAUUAGAAAUGACAAGAGAAUCUGUCAGAGGAGUAAUUCCAGCAACUGUAGCAUAUGGAGACAUUGUGUUCAGGCCCCUUUGCCAUGAUUUCUGGGCAGAGCAGCAGGAAGACCUGGCAGUCGAGACCAUCCACCACUGUUUGUUGAAAGAUUGA
rnacentral:lncRNA from 1 species